AUUAUUGGCAGAGCUAUUUGUUUCACCUUUAGUAAGAAAGGGAGCAAAAUAUGAAGGAAAUAUCAUGGCAUUUAUAGGUUAACAGAAUUAGGAUUUUGCUUUUUAGGUUGCUUUUUUUUUUUUUUUUUUUUUUUGAUUCUUUCUGUUGCUUGAGUCAGUGGCAUUUGGGGCUCAACAUAUGCUGGUUUAGCCUUGCAAGAGGCUAUGGAGUGCCUGUGUUGAUCUUGGGAGGGGUACAGAGAGCUUGGCAGGGUUGCUGCAGUGGGAAUUAUAUCAUAUUUUGUAUUCAGGCAACCUACAGUGGCACUCCCAACAUUACUGUUCAUAGGCACACGCUCUGCUCUCCUGAUGCUCCGAGGGCAAUGCAGGGCUGGAGGGGGGCAUUUUGCACAACUUCCUUAUGCCUUGGAAAAACUCUACAGGAAUACCUACAUCAGUGAAGCCACACAAAGGCAAACUGACGCAGUGGGGCUGUAAGUGUGCAGCAGAGGACGACCACAGUUCAAGGAGAGGCUGGGUUCUCAGAGCCGUGAUAUCUUCAGGUCUAAAGGAUCAAGAUUGAGCAGGAUUUGAUGGACUUCAGCCUCUGAUGAGGUGCUUAUGAGACUACAGAAUAGGGCCUAAAUUAGUAAUCAGGCACAAUGAGGAAUAAAGUCCUCGGAGAGAGAAGAAGAGGAAAUUUAACACUAGAAAAGGAUAAAGAACAGAAGAGAAAAUGAGAAAAGGUGAUGCAAUCUAAGAUCAAACAAAAUCUACGUGUUUCUCUUACUGCUGGUACUUCUCUUAUUUCACAGGCUUUGCUGAUCUCAUGUACUCCUCCACCAUAAAAAGCUGCUCGCAGUUACAGUGAUGUUUCUAGAAGGCUGAGGAGGCUGACACCCUCUCUGAUCAGGCUUGGUGGGUUGGAUCCUGGUUUGGGCCUAGGGAUGGUUCCUCCAACAAGUUUUGGCAGCUAAUCAGACAGUUGGACUUCAAAUGCCUCUGAGGCAUUCACCUGAUGCACUUCCCAGCCACCGUGAUUUUACAGCAUGGCACAGUAAUGAAGCAGAUCAUGUGGCAAGAGAUCUGCCACUUCUUUCUCUUCUAAAACUUCGUCUUGUCCUGACUGUCACACAAACUGUGCACCAUCCUAAAAUGGUAUAACGAAGCAAACUCACCCUGAAAGAGCAGGUAAUAUUCUGCAGCAGAUUAGAUGAAAAGUGUUUCCUCUGGGUGAAUGAAACCCCAUCUGAAUGCAACGAACAAACACUGUGUGUGUCGGUAUGCAUUAUGUAUGUACAGUACUUGCACUGUGACUGUUACUUUUUAAUUUUCUUAGCUGUUUUGCAUUUAGGAAAAUCAGUUUUGCUCUCUUUCUUCAGAAUGUUUUAAUCAUAUUUAUAGCAUUUAUAAAAAUCUCAUAUCUUCUUACAUUUCCUAAGACCUGAGGUAUGUAGUAAAUUUCUAGUAAGAAGCUUCUCCUUCUUUCCAACCUAAUAGGAGUUCGGACUGUAUUAGAUUAUAUGAAAUUUAAAUGCAUUAGUUGUUAGCCAAACUGAAUUUUCAUAUAAAUUAAUAUUGUUAUUGUAUUUUAAUAAAGCAAUAACAUUUAC
rnacentral:lncRNA from 7 species